rnacentral:miRNA from 1 species
UAUUAGGUUGUUGCAAUAGUAAUUACAGUUCUUUUGCCAUACUUUUAAUUAUUUUGCCAUUACUUUUAAUGACAAAAACUGCACUUACUUUUGCACCAACAUAGUAGUU